GGAGGAUAUGUUGGUGGAUGCAGUUACAUUUGUUUCUUUGGUUUAAGAUUUGUUUCCGUUGAUUUGUCACUAAUUUGCUACUUUGCAUAUAUAGCUGGCUGCUCACUUGACUUUUGGCUAAGGCCUAAAAGAAUGCACUUUGUGCUGGCAAAGUACUCCUUUUUUUUUUCUUUUCUAUCAUGUGAACAUUUAAUUUGACUUGUAAGAGGAAGGGGAAAAGAAGGGAGUAAGAGGCAGUUUGGUCUCAGAAGAAUGCACUUUUUUCUUUACCCUGCCUCUUACGGUUUGUGGCUGCAAUGGCUAGCAGUGUAUCUGGUUCAAGAAGUCUUAUCGACGUUGUUCCAUUCUUCUGAUGACCACACUGGAUCUGGUCAUUUGUUGCAUGAUAGAGGAUCCAUCAUGGUGUAUUCAUGUAGUCAUUAUCUCCAUGCUUUCCUUCAUGCUCAGUGAAUGGAGACUGAAGACUGAAAACUGGUUGGUGCUCUUGCAGGUGAGAUUGAAGAUAUAAAAUUGGUCAGGGCUCUGGUAAGCUUUGUAAUGGAGAAAUUUUGCAGCUCUAGCUGUUUGUUUCAUAGCUUCUCAAAUUGCUGGGAAAAGGUAGAGAUGAAAACAUGAUGGCUAGAGCUACAGUGUGGACCAAUGAUGGCACUUGGAGCUGGUACCUGCGUGACUAUUCCAUAUUUUCUGCUACUGGAUAGAGGCCUUUGCAGAGUACCUCCGUCGGUAUGGAAGAAAAUGUAUUGUUACCGAGUUAUACGGAGUAUUUGUUAUUCCAUUGGAUAUACGGAGUACAACUUAUCUGUGACUGUGACCACAUGUGCAUAAGUUGGUUUAAAACUUUAAAUGGGCUUCCCUGAAGACAUCGUGAGGAGUGCUCUGAAGAUUGUCGACGGCGACGAGAACAUGAUUCUUGAAAAGCUCUGCUCUGUCUGAGGCCCUAUGGUCGAUAUGAACUGUAAAUUAAAUCCCCAUUUGUAAUAAGACAACAGUGCUUGCUAAUGCUCAUUUUCUGUCUUUUCAGUGUGCCCUUUAUGACACCUGUAAAACCUAUUAGCUUGAGGCACACAUUAUUUUUGUUACAAGUAUAAUGGUUAUGCCCAUGAAUAAAUGGAAAUGGUGUGAAUUGAGGUUAACAAUAUGAUGGUUCCAAGA